UGAGGAAUAUUGGUCAAUGGACGCAAGUCUGAACCAGCCAAGUAGCGUGCAGGAUGACGGCCCUAUGGGUUGUAAACUGCUUUUAUAUGGGGAUAAAGUGGGGAACGUGUUCCCUUUUGCAGGUACCAUAUGAAUAAGGACCGGCUAAUUCCGUGCCAGCAGCCGCGGUAAUACGGAAGGUUCGGGCGUUAUCCGGAUUUAUUGGGUUUAAAGGGAGCGUAGGCUGUCUAUUAAGCGUGUUGUGAAAUAUACCGGCUCAACCGGUGGCUUGCAGCGCGAACUGGUCGACUUGAGUAUGCAGGAAGUAGGCGGAAUUCGUGGUGUAGCGGUGAAAUGCUUAGAUAUCAUGACGAACUCCGAUUGCGCAGGCAGCUUACUGUAGCAUAACUGACGCUGAUGCUCGAAAGUGCGGGUAUCAAACAGG
rnacentral:rRNA from 1 species